CCCUCGGGUGAGCACGGCUUGGCUGGGUCUUUCCUUCUGGGAACCAGCGUGCUCUUAAUUGAGUGCGCUUGGCGAUCCAGAACUUUUACUUUGAAAAAAUUAGAGUGUUUAAAGCAGGCGUUAGUGCUUGAAUACAUUAGCAUGGAAUAAUAGAAUAGGACUUUGGUUCUAUUUUGUUGG
rnacentral:rRNA from 1 species